rnacentral:rRNA from 1 species
CAAAGAAAAUUGCGCAAUGGGCGAAAGCCUGACGCAGUAACGUCGCGUGGGGGAUGAAUGCCUUCGGGUUGUAAACCCCUUUUGUGAGUGAAGAAGAUCUGACGGUAACUCACGAAUAAGUCACGGCUAACUACGUGCCAGCAGCCGCGGUAAUACGUAGGUGGCGAACGUUGUCCGGAUUCACUGGGCGUAAAGCGCGCGCAGGCGGAUCGGAAAGUCGAUAGGUGAAAUCUCCAGGCUCAACUUGGAGAGGCCCUGCGAUACUCCCGGUCUAGAGGCACCUAGAGGAGAGUGGAAUUAACGGUGGAGGGGUGGAAUCCGUAGAUAUCGUUAGGAACACCAGUGGCGAAAGCGGCUCUCUGGGGGUGUACUGACGCUGAGGCGCGAAAGCGUGGGGAGCGAACGGG